UUGAAUUUAAAGUAAUUGAUGGAUUUGGAAUACAAAAAUAUGAUUAAAUUUAUGAAUAAUACAAUACCGUUUGGCAAGGGGAUAGGGAUAGGGAUAACCCCUAUCUCCCUUUAUACCCAAACGCUAAUUUUUUAUUCGAGAAUAGUAAUUCUCGGUUAUCUAUAAUAAUCGGGUAUAACUAUUCCCACCAACACCUUCAUUUUCUAUACAAAAUUAUCUAUUAUUUUUCUUAUUCCAUAUUAUCUAUCCAAACGCUAUUUUCUUAUUCCCGAAAGCAAUCUAAUUUUCAUCCAAAUAUUAUUUUUCUUAUCCCCAUACUUAUACAUAUCCCUGUAAUAGCUAGUUCUUACUUAUACCCGAACCAAACGCUACCGAAACCUCGCUCUAGUUCAAUAUUACAUCAUUUUGUACAGUUAUGUGCGUAGAAUUUUUAUUCAUAUAAAAUAUUAAUAGUAAAAUGCAUUCAGACUGUCCAUAUUGAAUUGCCGAUGAUGAGCAAUGAGUUUGUCCUUGUAAGGCUACUGUGAAAUAAUCGUUGUACUCUAAAAGCUUAAGCUGUUAAAGAACGGUAUUUAAAUAUUUUUAUAUUUAACACUCCCCCUCAUGUCUGGACUUAAGACUUUUUAGCCGGUCCAUGACGUGAGCUUGAAUUAAAUUUAAAUGGAAGAAUUAAUAUGCUAGGAGCCUGACGUGACUCGAACUCAGGAUCUCCUGUUCUGAUACUAUGUGAAAUCAACCGUUGUACUCUAAAAAUUUAAGUUGUUAAAGAAUAGUGUUUAAACAUUUUUAUAUUUAACAGCUACAAAAGAUUACAGCACAAUUUAAAAUAGAAGUGCUUAUAUCUAACUAAUGUAAUAUAUCAUUCCAAUUUCGUUCCAUUAAAAUUUU
rnacentral:lncRNA from 1 species